rnacentral:rRNA from 1 species
AGCGAACGCUGGCGGCAGGCUUAACACAUGCAAGUCGAGCGGGCAUCUUCGGGUGUCAGCGGCGGACGGGUGAGUAACGCGUGGGAACGUGCCUUCUGGUUCGGAAUAACUCAGGGAAACUUAAGCUAAUACCGGAUACGCCCUUUUUGGGGAAAGGUUUACUGCCGGAAGAUCGGCCCGCGUCUGAUUAGCUAGUUGGUGGGGUAACGGCCUACCAAGGCGACGAUCAGUAGCUGGUCUGAGAGGAUGAUCAGCCACACUGGGACUGAGACACGGCCCAGACUCCUACGGGAGGCAGCAGUGGGGAAUAUUGGACAAUGGGCGCAAGCCUGAUCCAGCCAUGCCGCGUGAGUGAUGAAGGCCUUAGGGUUGUAAAGCUCUUUUAUCCGGGACGAUAAUGACGGUACCGGAGGAAUAAGCACCGGCUAACUCUGUGCCAGCAGCCGCCGUAA